CCUGCCAAGGCGAUGAUGUUUAGGGGGCCUGAGAGGGUGAUCCCCCACACUGGUACUGAGACACGGACCAGACUCCUACGGGAGGCAGCAGUGAGGAAUAUUGGUCAAUGGGCGGCAGCCUGAACCAGCCAUCCCGCGUGAAGGAAGAAUGCGCUAUGCGUUGUAAACUUCUUUUCCAGGAGAAUAAAAUGCCAUACGUGUAUGGUACUGAAGGUAUCCUGGGAAUAAGCAUCGGCUAACUCCGUGCCAGCAGCCGCGGUAAUACGGAGGAUGCGAGCGUUAUCCGGAUUUAUUGGGUUUAAAGGGUGCGUAGGCGGGAUUAUAAGUCAGUGGUGAAAACCUGCAGCUUAACUGUAGACUUGCCAUUGAUACUGUAGUUCUUGAGUGUGGUCAAGGCAGGCGGAAUGUGUAAUGUAGCGGUGAAAUGCUUAGAUAUUACACAGAACACCGAUUGCGAAGGCAGCUUGCUGGGCCAAUACUGACGCUGAGGCACGAAAGCGUGGGGAUCAAACAGGAUUAGAUACCCUGGUAGUCCACGCCGUAAACGAUGAUCACUAGCUGUUGGCGAUAUACCGUUCAGCGGCAAAGCAAAAGC
rnacentral:rRNA from 1 species